rnacentral:rRNA from 1 species
GAUAAACGCUGGCGGCGUGCAUGAGACAUGCAAGUCGAACGGACGAUCAGGGCUUGCUCUGUUCGUUAGUGGCGGACGGCUGAGUAACGCGUAGGUGACCUGCCCCGAAGUGGGGAAUAACUGCCCGAAAGGGUGGCUAAUACCGCAUGUGGUGAUGCCUUCACUGGCAUCAGUAAAGCCGCAAGGCGCUUCGGGAGGGGCCUGCGUCCGAUUAGCUCGUUGGUGGGGUAACGGCUCACCAAGGCGACGAUCGGUAGGUGGUCUGAGAGGACGAUCACCCAGACUGGGACUGAGACACGGCCCAGACUCCUACGGGAGGCAGCAGUCGGGAAUUUUGCGCAAUGGACGAAAGUCUGACGCAGCAACGCCGCGUGAGGGAUGACGGCCUUCGGGUUGUAAACCUCUUUUGUCAGGGAAGAUGAUGACGGUACCUGACGAAUAAGUCACGGCUAACUACGUGC